rnacentral:rRNA from 1 species
CGCGUAGGCGGUUGCCUAAGUCGGACGUGAAAUCCCCAAGCUUAACUUGGGAACUGCAUCUGAUACUGGGUGACUUGAGUUCGGGAGAGGAAUGUGGAAUUCCAGGUGUAGCGGUGAAAUGCGUAGAUAUCUGGAGGAACACCGGUGGCGAAGGCGGCAUUCUGGACCGAAACUGACGCUGAGGCGCGAAAGCCAGGGAGCAAACG